CGGCGAGGGCAGCGGGGCUGGGACUGGAACAGCCGCCGCGCGGACCCGACCAGCCUCGCCGGCUCCUGCCCGCAGGCCGCGAGCGCGACGACCGGGUCGACCAGGCGGCGGCGUGGGCGCCAGACGGGGCGAGCUUUCUGUGGCAAUAGGAGUCCCGCCCUAAGUUCUGAUUCCUACAGACUGGUUAAUCCAUGGAAGAAAUUGCAGUUGGAUCUUAUUUUUAACCACAAAUGAAUCCAGACAACUCAUAUGACUUGAGGCUGAGCUUUUGGGACAGUUAAGCAGCUGCUUUCUCCACUGUAUCCUGGCAUGGCCACAGGAGCUGGAGAUUGGUGAAUGAAUACAAUAAUCACCUUAUGUCAUGGUAAAUACCUAAAGUCUUAUGAAAGAAUGGAGAGCUUGAGCCCCCAAGGAGCCUGAGUGUUUCAGAUAGAGCAAAUUGUGAUCUAUUUUUUAUCUUUUACUAUGAAAAAGUGCCUAGGAAGAUCUUUGUGUAGAGAUGGGGAUAAUUAUGGCCCUCUAUAGUGGAAUUCUUAGACUAGUUGUGCUGCUAUAACAGACAAUAGAAGCUGGAAUCUACUGUAUUCUGGUCAGUUGCUGGACAACUCACCCUCCCCAAAUAAUGACUUCACCUUACAUAAACCAGGAUGUCUUGGGAUUUCUAAUGCUAUGAAGAGACACCAUGGCCAUGGCAACUCUUAUUAAAAAACAAAAAAACAAAAAAAAAACAUUUAGUUGGGGCUGGCUUAUGGUUUCAGAGGUUUAGUCUAUUAUUGUCAUAGUGGGACAUGGUGGUGUGCAGUCAGACAUGGUGCUGAAGAAGGAGCUGAGAGGCCUUCAUCUUGGUCCAUAGGCAGGCAGCAAAAGCAACUGUGUCCCACAUUGGGUGUAGCUUGAGCAUAUGAGACCCCCAAACCCCACCUCCACAGUGAUAUACUCUCUCCAAAAAGGCCACACCUUCUAAUAGUGCCACUUCCUAUGGGCCAGUCAUUCAAAUGCAUGAGACUAUGGGAGGUCAUUUCUAUUCAAAUCACCAUACAAGGUGAGUAUGGUGGCACACACCGUUAAUCCCAGCACUCAGGAGGGAGAAGCAGGCAGACCUCUGACUUUGAGGCCAGCUUGGUCUGUAUAUCAAGUUCCAGGCCAGACAGCUACAUAGUGAGACCCUAUCUCAAAAACAGAG
rnacentral:lncRNA from 1 species